rnacentral:rRNA from 1 species
UACGAAGGGGGGCUAGCGUUGCUCGGAAUCACUGGGCGUAAAGCGCACGUAGGCGGCUUUUAAGUCAGGGGUGAAAUCCUGGAGCUCAACUCCAGAACUGCCUUUGAUACUGAGAAGCUUGAGUCCGGGAGAGGUGAGUGGAACUGCGAGUGUAGAGGUGAAAUUCGUAGAUAUUCGCAAGAACACCAGUGGCGAAGGCGGCUCACUGGCCCGGUACUGACGCUGAGGUGCGAAAGCGUGGGGAGCAAACAGGG